UACGUAGGGUGCGAGCGUUACUCGGAAUUACUGGGCGUAAAGCGUGCGCAGGCGGUGAGCUGUGUCCGAUGUGAAAGCCCCGGGCUUAACCUGGGAAUGGAAUUGGAAACUGGCUCGCUGGAGUGUGGCAGAGGGGGGUGGAAUUCCGCGUGUAGCGGUGAAAUGCGUAGAUAUCAGGAGGAACACCGGUGGUGUAAACGGCUUUCUGGACCAUAACUGACGCUGAGGCACGAAAGCGUGGGUAGCAAACAAG
rnacentral:rRNA from 1 species